rnacentral:rRNA from 1 species
AUUGAACGCUGGCGGCAUGCUUUACACAUGCAAGUCGAACGGUAGCAGGGAGCUUGCUCCGCUGACGAGUGGCGAACGGGUGAGUAAUGCGUCGGAACGUGCCGAGUAGUGGGGGAUAACGCAUCGAAAGGUGUGCUAAUACCGCAUACGUACUGAGGUAGAAAGUGGGGGACCGUCGGGCCACACGCUAUUCGGGCGGCCGACGUCUGAUUAUCUAGUUGGUGAGGUAAAGGCUCACCAAGGCGACGAUCAGUAGCGGGUCUGAGAGGAUGAUCCGCCACACUGGGACUGAGACACGGCCCAGACUCCUACGGGAGGCAGCAGUGGGGAAUUUUGGACAAUGGGCGCAAGCCUGAUCCAGCCAUGCCGCGUGUCUGAAGAAGGCCUUCGGGUUGUAAAGGACUUUUGUCCGGGAGCAAAUGCCUGGUGUUAAUAGCACUGGGAGCUGAGAGUACCGGAAGAAUAAGCACCGGCUAACUACGUGCCAGCCGCCGCCGUAACAC